rnacentral:rRNA from 1 species
UACGUAGGGACCAAGCGUUGUUCGGAUUUACUGGGCGUAAAGGGCGCGUAGGCGGCAAUUCAAGUCAUCUGUGAAAUCUCCGGGCUUAACCCGGAACGGUCAGAUGAUACUGCUUUGCUAGAGUGCGGAAGGGGCAAUCGGAAUUCUUGGUGUAGCGGUGAAAUGCGUAGAUAUCAAGAGGAACACCUGAGGUGAAGACGGGUUGCGGGGCCGACACUGACGCUGACAGCGCGAAAGCCAGGGGAGCAAACGGG